rnacentral:rRNA from 1 species
AUACGGAGGAUGCGAGCGUUAUCAGGAUUUAUUGGGUUUAAAGGGAGCGUAGGCGGGAGCUUAAGUCAGCGGUUAAAUGGUGCGGCUCAACCGUGCCCUGCCGUUGAAACUGGGUUUCUUGAGAGUGCAAGAGGCGGAUGGAAUUUAUGGUGUAGCGGUGAAAUGCUUAGAUAUCAUGAAGAACUCCGAUUGCGAAGGCAGUCCGCUGGGGCACGUCUGACGCUGAGGCGCGAAAGUGUGGGGAGCAAACAGGAUUAGAUACCCUGGUAGUCCACACUGUAAACGAUGAAUGCUAGGUGUAAGAGGUAUCGACCCCUUUUGUGCCGGAGUCAACACAAUAAGCAUUCCGCCUGGGGAGUACGGCCGCAAGGUUGAAACUCAAAUGAAUUGGCGGGG